ACACUGCAACUGCCUGCUGCAAUAUAACACAAUACAUCUCUUGUGCGAUUUUGUGCUUCAUUCAGAGUCAGCAAGAUUCUAUAGAAUUAAGGUCUGAAGAAUUACUUGAUCAGAGCAUAUAUAUCAGUAUUAGAAGUCAUCUUGACAAGUAAUUUAAUGAGAAAUGAAAAUAUCAUCUCUACUACGGAGUAUGAUGAAGCAGACUUGGGGGAAAUUCAAGUUGGUGGUGUUAUAUAGUGCCUUGGCGGGUGCCUUGGCGGGUAAGAACUUUUGAGAUGAACCUCCGUACUAUUGUCACUGAUUGUCAUUUAUGCAAACGGUGUGUGCCUCGAUAAAAUGGGGAGACUGGCGACAGGGGCAGAUAGAUAAUUGGUUGGCUGAUUUCCAAGGUUGCUUUGGGCCGGGUUAUGCAGCUCAGCUUGGGCAGCUUGAUGCUGCUGCUGACGGGCAGAGGGAACAGCGAUGACGAUGACGAUGACGGUUCGUUUUUUGUAUUAUUGCUACUAUGUAUAUAUUAAUCUAGCACUCCACCAUUUUCCCAUGCUGGGAUUUCACUUGUUUGCCCCUGAGAGCUCUGUCUGGUUUUCAAUUGAGAGGAUUGAGGGA
rnacentral:sRNA from 2 species